rnacentral:lncRNA from 1 species
GAAAUGGGGGUCCAGAAGCCAUCCUUCCCCUGCUUCUGUGCCCUACCAGCCCUGCGCGCUCUCCAUUUCCUGACUUAGAAAGCGUCUAGUCACUCGUUACUCACCCAGUACUGUGUCUUCCAGGUCGGGUUCCCACUCCCGCAGCAAGAGCCGCAGCCGCAGCCAGAGCCGCAGUCGCAGUAAGAAGGAGAAAAGCCGGAGCCCCAGCAAAGACAACAAGAGCCGCAGUCGCAGCCGCAGCCCCGACAAGAGCCGAAGCAAAAGUAAAGACCAUGCAGAGGACAAGCUCCAGAACAACGACAGCGCUGGCAAAGCCAAGAGCCACAGCCCCAGCCGCCAUGACAGUAAAAGUCGGAGCAGGAGCCAGGAGAGGAGAGCAGAGGAGGAGAGGAGAAGCAGCACGAGCAGGGGUCACAGCCAGGAGAAGAGCCUGCUUAAGAGCCGCAGCCGCAGCCGCAGCAAAGUGGGCAGCCGCAGCCGCAGCCGCAGCAAAAGCAAGGACAAGCGGAAGGGCCGGAAGAGAAGCAGGGAAGAAAGUCGAAGCCGGAGCCGCAGCAAGAGCGAGCGCAGCCGGAAGCAUAGCAGCAAGCGGGACAGCAAAGUCAGCAGCAGCAGCAGCAAGAAGAAGAAGGGAGACACCGACCACUCCCGGUCACCGUCCCGCUCAGUGUCAAAGGAGCGGGAACAUGCCACGGCAGAGCCUGGCCAGAGGGAAAGCCGGGCUGAGGGUGAGAGCGAGGGUCCCAAUCCAGAGCCCCGGGCCAGGUCAAGAUCCACUUCCAAAUCCAAACCUAGUCUCCCG